AUGCCGGUCAUCGACAAGAAGGCCAGCUACUCCUUCGUCUACCCAUUCGGAUGGCAGGAGGUGUAUGUGCAAGGGCAGGACAAGAUGUACAAGGACGUGUCGACCCCGCCGUCCGCGAGUGGACCUCAAGGGCAAGAGCUUCCAUAA
rnacentral:rRNA from 1 species